AUGAUGAAUUUGGUACCAACUUUGGCUUUCAUUUUGGCCAUUUUACACGGUGUCCAGUGUGAGAUACAGCUGGUGGAGUCUGGGGGUGAUUUGAGAAAGCCUGGAGAGUCUCUGAGACUCUCUUGUGCAGCCUCUGGAUUCACCUUCAGUGACCACUGGAUGUACUGGAUCCGCCAGUUUCCAGGGAAGGGCUUGCAGUGGGUCGCAGAAAUUAGUAAUACUGGCGGUAGUACAUACUACACAGACUCCGUAAAGGGCCGAUUCACCAUCUCCAGAGACAACUCCAAGAACACACUCUAUCUUCAGAUGAACAGCCUUGAACCCGAGGACACGGCCACGUAUUACUGUGCAAGAGACACAGUGAGGGAAAGCAGUCCAGGACUGGUGAAGCCCUCCCAGAAGCUGUCCCUCACCUGCACUGUCUCUGGUUACUCCAUCACCAGUGGUUACUGCUGGAGCUGGAUCCACCAGCCCUCAGGGAAGGGGCUGCAGUGGAUGGGCUGCAUAAGGUAUGAUGGUGAUACAGAUUAUAACCUGUCCUUCCAAAGCCGACUCUCCAUCAAUAGAGACACAUCGAAGAAUCAGUUCUCCCUGCAGCUGAGCUCCGUGACUGCUGAGGAUACGGCCCUGUAUUACUGUGCGGGGAUAUCAGUGUAA